CGGGGCGUGGCACAGCCCGGUAGUGCGCACGGUUCGGGUCCGUGAGGUCGACGGUUCAAAUCCGUCCGCCCCGACUA
rnacentral:tRNA from 1 species